GUAGGAUAAGUAAAACAAAUCACUCCUGUUGGGACUGACAGAUAACACACGUAUUGAAUUCAGUCAUUUAUUACAGUAAGUACACCUUGCGAAAACUAAUGUAGUAACAGUCCUGCAAUAAAUCAUAUAACUCACCAUUUAUAUCAACGAGGGCAGGCUAAAAAACAGAAACACCUCUGUGUAUAUUGCAAUGCAAUUCAACAGCAACACAAACUACAUCCUCCAAAAGAUCAUAAAGUUGAAUAAACUGGCAACUGAGUGUAUAUACUGUAUAUACUUUACUCUAUAAUAAAUUCAGUUAAUCAUAUCUUCAAGUGAGACCAGAUUUUAUUAUGUUAUUCUACAUUGCAUUAUUUUCUCUUUACCUUGGAAACAGGUAGAUAACUAUUAACCCUCUACUGCACACAUUAUGGUUUUCUAUAAAAAAAGAUUGAGGCUCUCUGAUAAUGUAUCAAUGAUCAAAAUUUUCAUUUGUUGUUAUAUAGUUAUAAUAUAAGCACAGUUUUAGUCAUUGCGUUGUAACAGAUUGUGCAGAAAGUACAUUUUUAGCCCAUAGAAUGUCCUUGUGUUCAUUGCCUGUGAAUUUCAGUGGAUAUGUUCAUAAAAAAACAUUGACCAGGACCUUCAUUUUACAUCACAUACAAGUCCUUCAUUGAGCACAAUACUACUUGGAAAAGUAGCCUAACUGCACAACGUUGCCCUGAGGCAACGAAGAGAAAACCACUUUAUUAUAUAUACUGUAUAUACAGUAUACAUUUUUUUAAAUCUCAAAAAUCUAUCAAAUAUUUCUUCUAUUUUGCUUCUUUAGAUGUUCAUAUACAUGUACAUAUGUUUCUUGUCAAUACAUCUCUAUUUAAACAUGCAAAAGAGUGAAAUUCUUUCUGUUGCCUUAGGGCAGCGAUAUGCAGUACAGGGUUAACUAAACUAACCAAUAACAGAAAAUAAAAAAAAUGACAAUUCUACUAAUAACUUAUUAUUUCUAAAGGUGACCAUUUAGAUAAAUAUGGUGAUAUUUCGUGAUGUUAUAGUCGGUGUGGCUGCUAGACUAUAUGUCAUUGCGCCGGGUAAAUGCGCUGAAUCGCUAAUUGACGUCUGUGCCUGGAUAUAGAAGGCAAAAGUAGUUCCCUGACCGGGAAUCGAACCCGGGCCGCGGCGGUGAGAGCGCCGAAUCCUAACCACUAGACCACCAGGGAAAGUUAAGGCGUGCAUAAGUUGAAUUGAUUUUAUAGCUGUGUCUCAUUAUAACUCUAUAACUCAUUUGAAGGCCGAAUGCAUCACGGCGGGCGCGACUGGCUGUCGCAUUUCAAUACUGCUUCAAAUGCGGAUUUAUUUUCUUGAAUUUGGAGGAUGCAACGGUGGAUCCUUAGUGGCCCAACCUAUCCCAAGAUGCAUUUGGCGUCGGUGAUGAAUAUGGCGUCCUCAAACGUAAUGUUGACAGAUUCCUUGGCCGCUUUACACACUUUACACUUUUAAAAUGACGAUUCUGGAGAAAAUGGGCCUGCUGGGGAAAGUGACUCCUUUGCAAGCCAGAAAAAAGGGACAAUAAAAACAUGCAAAGUAUGUCCAUGAGAUUUUGAAAUUAUAUUUGUUUUAAUCAUGCAAGUUAAUAAACACACUUACACUGCUGAAA